rnacentral:tRNA from 1 species
GGAUGGGUGCCAGAGCGGUCGAUUGGGCACGCCUGGAGAGCGUGUGUACCGCAAGGUACCGAGGGUUCGAAUCCCUCCCCAUCCG